rnacentral:rRNA from 1 species
GGGUUAGUAGGUUGGUCGUGCCUUGGUAUGCACUGGUGUCACUGAUUCCUCCCUUCUGAAGAACCGUUAUGCCAUUUAUUUGGUGUGAUGGGGAAUCAGGACUGUUACUUUGAAAAAAUUAGAGUGUUUAAAGCAAGCUAACGCUUGAAUACAUUAGCAUGGAAUAAUGAAAUAGGACGUUCGAUCCUAUUUUGUUGGUUUCUAGGAUUGACGUA